UUGAACUUUUGUUGGAUUCAUCGAAUUAAUAUUUGAACGAGUUAGCAACUACGUUGUUUACCUCACCAUAUUUGGUACAUUGGAAUUCAGACUCAGAGAACCAAUCAAUUUAAAACGUGCUUUGCGCGAAUUGCGCUGUUUAUUAAAAUGUGGAAAGAAGACAUAGAAAGGGGCUUUUAUCUACUGAGAUGGAGACUUCCAUUAAUCGACUUCGGGAGACCAGUACCAGGUUCUUUUUUCAAUAGCCAUCACAAACUAAAAUAUUGAAAAAUGAAGUGAGUGGAGCUACUCAGCACUUCAAUGAGGUAACUUUUGAAUUUGAUAUUCUAUAUGUAAUGAAAAGUAAAUAUGUGUAGUAGUUAAAGCUAUAUGGACCAUGAAUAUUGGCUUAGGUAGCUCAGUGGUUAGAGCACCUGACUAGUAAUGCAGGGGUCCCAGGUUUGAUUCCUGGUUCGUUCAUACAUUUGAUUUCCUCUUCCUUUAUUACAGUUAAGUCCAAUGUCUUGGUAUAAUGAAGGUAAACAUUAAAAAAUAACCAUUAGUUUUUAUUUUGUAAUUUAGCAAGUUAAGGGACAAGAUGAAAAGCUCAAUGUCUGAAGAAAAUCUUAAUUGAAAUAGUUUGGGGAAGGGAAGGGGGUAAAAACUCCCACAAGUUUCGGUCACUCAUCCAAUAUUCUAUUUAUUAUAAUACAUGAAUAAUUGCAGCACUUCAGCAGGAAGAAAGUGAGCAGGACUGAAGUAACUCAUUGAAAAUUUGGAAAUAACAUUUAUUACAUUUUAAUGAACAUUUAAAAUAAGAAUUAGAAAAUGUACAUAGUCUUAUUUAGUACUAUUGUGUUAUUGCAUGAUAAUCAAUUUGGGUCAAAACUGUGAAUUAUUUUAUUUUUUAUCAGACAUUGAGCUUUUGAUCUUGCCCAGGCUAACAAUGUGUCAUAUUUAUCUAUGCAUCUAAUAUACCAGUAUAUAUAUGUAAUAUUACUCCAAAUUUUUAUUUCAGUUCAACUGAGAUAUUUGAUUUACAACAGUAACUUGGAAUAAGGCAACAUUAUAAUAAAGGAGGACAGAAACCAAGAAAUAGACCAUUGCCAAAGAAAAUGGACAGAAGGGAAGAAGAAAAAGGUUACAAAUUUUACAAAAUCCAAGUGUGAUAAUGGAAUGAUGCCAAGUGAUGAAGAAGAUGAUGAGGGCUUCUUGACAUACUGAUAUUCAUAGGAAAGCAACUCCUUUAAAACAUACAUGGAAAUUUGUCUGGCAAGAAGAAAUAGACUCGUCUAAACAAGAACGGGGGAUCUAUAAAAGACAAAGACAAACCCAAGGCUGCAGAUGAUUUCUUUUGGAUAUUUAGAUGAGAUCUUCAUUUGGGACUUGGACAAUAAGCCUAUUUUCUGUAUAAAUAUAUCACAAUAUUUGUACCAUGAUCCAUUUUAUAUUAAUCUGAUUUUGAAAUUUACAAAAGUGCUUUUUUAUUACAAAUACAAAUUUAUCAUAUCAACUAUGUAAAAAUAUAUUUUUUUAAAUAUGAUAUUGGAACAAAUCAAACUUUAAUAUAGUGAUUGUGUUUGAAAUAUGUGACUGUUCUUUAUACAUUUAUUCACUAUCUUGAAUAAUUGGUCUGAAAUUAUUGUUACAGUAACUUUUGUAAAUGUUUUCAUCUUAAAUUUGAUGUUUUCAUCACAUUAAUCUUCAAAUGAAAAUACUGAAAAAUGAUAAUUUUGAUUACAGGCAAUUUUCUUUGUGAAUUGACAAUUUGAAAAAAGAGUAAUGUGACAAGGACUUAAUUGUAUUUUAGUUUGCCCUUAUACAAGUAUAUGUAUGUUGUACUUAAUAAUAGUUGAAUAAAUAUUUUUAUAUGUACUAGAAAA